CACUCUAGAGAGACUGCCAGGGAUAACCUGGAGGAAGGUGGGGAUGACGUCAAAUCAUCAUGCCCCUUAUGCUUAGGGCUACACACGUGCUACAAUGGGUAGUACAGAGGGUUGCCAAGCCGUAAGGCGGAGCUAAUCCCUUAAAGCUACUCUCAGUUCGGAUUGUAGGCUGAAACUCGCCUACAUGAAGCUGGAGUUACUAGUAAUCGCAGAUCAGAAUGCUGCGGUGAAUGCGUUCCCGGGUCUUGUACCCAC
rnacentral:rRNA from 1 species